GACAGGUGCUGCAUGGCUGUCGUCAGCUCGUGUUGUGAAAUGUUGGGUUAAGUCUCGCGACGAGCGCAACCCCUAUCUUUAGUUGCCAGCAUUAAGUUGGGCACUCUAGAGAGACUGCCCGGGUUAACCGGGAGGAAGGUGGGGAUGACGUCAAGUCCUCAUGGCCCUUAGCCUUGGGCUACACACGUAAUACAAUGGUUGGUACAGAGGGAAGCGAGCACGCGAGUGUUAGCAAAUCUCAAAAAGCCAAUCUCAGUCCGGAUUGGAGUCUGCAACUCGACUCCAUGAAGUUGGAGUCGCUAGUA
rnacentral:rRNA from 1 species